rnacentral:lncRNA from 1 species
UUCCCUUUUGCUGGUGCACUUGCCUCUCCAGUUGUCUUUGCCAGGACAGCCACAUCCAUUGGGAAUGUGAUUUUUUUCCCCACUCGGCUGUGCUGGCAACACUUUUCAGUGUAAACCACGCCUAGGUAUGAAAUGGGAGAUAAGAGGUGUCCGGACAAACGGGAGAGCACAAGACAACGCAGAGAGACUGCCUGUCAGCAAGACGCACAGUGCAGCACACAGGAAGAUUUGCAAAGGCAAUCGGGCUGCUUUAGGUUUCAGCAGAGCAACGUUGGGUCAUCAUCACCCUUUUUUCACCCUCCUCACAGAGGAGCCCACCGUUCUGAUUCUGGAUUUGGAUCCACAUGAUGAACUCUCCAAGGCUCCAACCACAGAUCUGAUAGCAGGAUCAAGGUCCUGA